CCUACGGGCGGCAGCAGUGAGGAAUAUUGGUCAAUGGACGCAAGUCUGAACCAGCCAAGUCGCGUGAAGGAUGACUGCCCUAUGGGUUGUAAACUUCUUUUAUAUGGGGAUAAAAUGAGCCACGUGUGCCUUUUUGUAUGUACCGUAUGAAUAAGGAUCGGCUAACUCCGUGCCAGCAGCCGCGGUAAUACGGAGGAUCCGAGCGUUAUCCGGAUUUAUUGGGUUUAAAGGGUGCGUAGGAGGUCUGUUAAGUGAGUUGUGAAAUCUUGCGGCUCAACAGUACAAUUGCCGUUGAUACUGGUAGGCUUGAGUAUAGUUGCGGUAGGCGGAAUGCGUGGUGUAGCGGUGAAAUGCUUAGAGAUCACGCAGAACUCCGAUUGCGAAGGCAGCUUACUAGACUACAACUGACAUUGAGGCUCGAAAGUGUGGGUAGCAAACAGGAUUAGAUACCCGAGUAGUC
rnacentral:rRNA from 1 species